UGCGGUAAUUCCAGCUCCAAUAGUGUAUUGUAAAGUUGUUGUGAUUAAAACGCUCGUAGUUGAAUGAAAACAAUCGGGACAUGAUUUACGAUCUCUCCUCCAUACGGUGGAUUCGUCCAUUAGGUUGAGUUGAUACAAAAAUCAAACAAUGUCCUACUAUAAGCGAGAGGGUGGAAUUAAUUCCAAACUCUUUUACUUUGAUUAAAUCAAGGUGCUUAAAGCAAAAUCUUCUGUUAACGAAUGAUGAAGCAUGGUAUAGAAUUAAAACAGAACAGAAAGAAUAACGAAUAAAUGGAGAUGGGCAACCAUUCGAAAUUUAUUUAUUUUUGUUUUGUUUAAAACAAGGUUAAGAGAAAUGAUUAGGGUGAUUUAGAUAGGAACGGGAGAGGUGGAAUUCCAUGAUCGUUUCGAGAUAAACGAGAGCGAAAGCAUUUCACA
rnacentral:rRNA from 1 species